AAGGGGAGGAAGGAACUGGGAGUUUCCCUGACUCUCCUUUAAACAGGUAAAGUGGGGGUAAACCUUGGACUACCUAUAUGCCACCCAGGAGUAUUGUGUGGAAAACAACACUGCGGAUCAUAAGAGAAAAAAAGCUUGAAAACCCAGAUAUAGACAUCUGGGACGCAUCACUACCACAAAAUCGAGGCUCCUAGAUGGUAUGUCUUCUGCCAUUAUAAAUGUUCCCUGUGAAAGAGACCCCCGGAGCCUCUGAAUCAUCUGCAGCACCAGUGUUGUCUGGAA